UACGAAGGGGGCUAGCGUUGUUCGGAAUUACUGGGCGUAAAGGGCGCGUAGGCGGCACUGUUAGUCAGGCGUGAAAGUCCUGGGCUCAACCUGGGAACUGCGCUUGAUACGGCAGAGCUAGAGGAUGGAAGAGGCUCGCGGAAUUCCCAGUGUAGAGGUGAAAUUCGUAGAUAUUGGGAAGAACACCGGUGGCGAAGGCGGCGAGCUGGUCCAUUACUGACGCUGAGGCGCGAUAGCGUGGGGAGCAAACAGG
rnacentral:rRNA from 1 species